rnacentral:lncRNA from 1 species
GUUUUACUUUACUGCCUUGUUGUACACAGGAUGCAGUUUUUACUUUACUGCCUUGUUGUAAGCAGGAUCAGUUUUUUACUUUAUGCCUUGUUGUACACAGGAUGCAGUUUUACUUUACUGCCUUGUUGUAACACAGGAUGCAGUUUUACUUUACUGCCUUGUUUUGUAAACAGGAUGCAGUUUUACUUUACUGCCUUGUUGUAACAGGAUGCAGUUUUACUUUACUGCCUUGUUGUAAACAGAUGCAGUUUUACUUUACUGCCUUGUUGUAAACAGGAUGCAGUUUUUACUUUACUGCCUUGUUGUAAACAGGAUGCAGUUUUACUUUACUGCCUUGUUGUAAACAGGAUGCCAGUUUACUUUACUGCCUUGUUGUACACAGGAUGCAUGUUUUACUUUACUGCUUGUUGUAAACAGGAUGCAGUUUUACUUUACUGCCUUGUUGUUAACAGGAUGCAGUUUUACUUUACUGCCUUGUUGUACACAGGAUGCAGUUUUACUUUACUGCUGCUUGUUGUACACAGGAUGCAGUUUUACUUUACUGCUUUGUUGUAAACAGGAUGCAGUUUAACUUUACUGCCUUGUUGUAAACAGGAUGCAGUUUUACUUA